AAGGUGCUAUGGUUUGGAUAUUUGCCUCCCCAAACCUCAUGUUGAAAAUUGAUCCCAAUGUUGGAGGUGGAGCCUAACGGGAGGUGAUUGGGUCACGGAGGUGGAUCCGUCAUGAAAAGAUCAAUGCCCUACCUUGGGAGGGGGAUGAUUGCAUUCUCCUCUUCAAGAGCUGGUUAUUAAAAAGAGCCUGACUUCUCCCUGCCCUCUCUUGCUGCCUCUCUCUAUAUAUGAUUUCUGCACAGGCCAGCCCCCCUUCACUUUUUGUUGUGAAAGGAAGAAGCCUGAGACCCUCCCUAGAAACUGGGCAGCUGCUGGUGCCAUGCUUCUGUACAGCCUGCACAAUUGUGAUCCAAAUACACUUCUUUUCUUUAUAAACUACCCAGCCUCAGAUAUUCCUUUAUUCAAACAAACUGGACUGACAGAAAAUUGGUACAGUGAAGUAGAAUGCUGCUAAAAUGAUAACUAAGUAUGUGGAAGCAGCUUUGGAACUAAGUAAUGGCAACAGGUUGGAAGAGUUUGGAGGGCUCAGAAAAAGAUAAAAGGAUGAAAGAAAGUUUGGGCCUUCUUCAAGAUUGGUUAAGUGAUUGUGAACAAAAUGUUUAUAGAAAUAUAGACAAUAAAGGCCCUGCUGUCAGGUCUCAGCUGGAAAUGAGGAAAUUAUUGGGAACCUGAGCAAAGGUCACCCUUGUUACACCUUAGAAAAGAAUUGGCUGCAUUGUGUCCAUGCCCUAGGGCUUUGAGAAAGGUCAAAAUUAAGAGUGAUAAUCUAGAGGUAAAAAUUUCCAAGCAGAAAGCAUUCAAGAAGUGGCAUGGCUACUUGUAAUUGCUUACUCUGAAUCAUCUGAAUUAAUGGAGCAAAGGAAUGGCCUAAAGAUGGAAUUGAUAACUAAAAGGGAAGCAGUGCAUUCAAAUUUCAAAAAUUUGCAACCUGAUCAUGAGAUAGAAUAGGAAAGAGCAUUUUUAGAAGAAUAAUUCAAAGGUAAAGCUGAGAGACCCUUUGUUAAAGACAUUAGCACAGGUAAAAGGGAGCCAGGUACUAAUAAACAGGACGGUGAGGAAAUGGCCCCAAAGGCAUUUUAGAAAUCUUUGAAGCAGUCCCUCCUAUUAUAGCCCCAGAGGCCUAGGACAACAGAAUGACAGAAUGGUUUCAGGGGAGGGGGUGGGGGGACUGCUGCCCUGCAAGGUCUCAACUCUAUCUAUGACUGAAACAGCCCCAGAUACUGCUCAGACCUUGACCAUAGAGAGUGCAAACCAUAAGCUUUGGUAAUGUCCACAUAGUAUUAAGCCUGCAAGCACAAAGAAUGCAAGAAUGGUGAAGCUUGGUAGCUUCCAACUGGAUUUCAGAUGAUAUAUUGGAAAGCCUGGGAGCACAGACAGAAAACUGCCACAGAGGCAGAGCCACCACAGAGAGUCCCCACUGGGACAAUACCUAAUGGAGAGGUGAGAGCAAGACUGCCACGAAGACUCUAGAAUUAUAGAGCCACUGGCAGCAUGCAACCUUCUCCUGGAAAGGCUACAGGCAUUCAACUGCAACCCACAAGGGCAGCCACAUGGGCUGUACCUAGCAAAACCAUGAGUACAGAGCUGUCCAAAGCCUCAGGAGCUCACCCUCACAGCAGUGUGCCCAGGACAUAGGACAUGGAGGCAAGGAGAUUAUUUUGGAGCUUUAAGAUUUAAUGUCUAUGCUGCUGGGUUUUAGACUCAUGUGGGGCCUAUUACCCCUUUCUUUUGACCUAUGUUUCUUUUGACCUAUGUUUCUUUUGAAUGUUUACGCAAUGCCGGUAUCACCAUUGUAUCCUGGAAGUAAAUAACUUAUUAUUAUUAUUAUUAUUUUACAGUCUUGCAGCUGAAAGGAAUUUACCUUGAGUCUCAGAUGAUACUUUGAACUUUGAAUUUUUAAGUUUCUGCAGAAACAAGCUAAGACUGUUGGGACUAUCGGGAAGGAAUGUUUUGUAAUGCGAGAAGGACAUGCUUUUGGGGGGCCAAAUGUAGAAUGAUAUGGCUUGGAUGUUUGUCCACCAAAACCUCAUAUUAAAAUUUGAUCCCCCUGUUGUAGGUGCCCUCCCUCCAGGAGAGGGUGAGUCAGUUAUCCAUUAGUUUUCAUGAGAAUUGAUUUUUAAAAAGACCUGGCAUCUCCCCAUUCUCUCUCUUGCUUUCUCUCCCAUCACGUGAUCUUUCCACACACUGGCUCAACUUCGCCUUCUGCCAUGAAUGCAAGGAACUUGAGGCCCUCACUAGAAGCUGGACAGAUGCUGGGACCAUGCAUCUUGUACAGCCUGCACAACCAUGAGCCAAAUAAACAUCUUCCCUUUAUAAAUUUCCUAGCCUCAGGUAUUCCUUGACAGCAACAGAAAAUGAAUUAAUACACAAGGUAUUAAAGAUAGAAAGACAUCUAAGACACAAAGUUUGCUCAUAAAGAGUUUAUUGGAUAGUGGGAAAGACCAAAAUGCAACCCACAAAACCAAACAUGUAUAGUAUAAUAUGCUAAUACAUAUAUGUUCACAUAAAAAUGUAGAAGUCAUUAGCUAGGUGGCUAAUAACAUCAGGGAAUGCCAGAUAAAGUGGGUAAAAUGCAUAUUAAGAGAAAGAUUGAGAUGAAGUUUACCAUCCACAACACACAUACAGGCAGGCCCACCCAUAAGAGUGCUCACAACUUAGCUUUUACACAUGAUUCCAUAUACAUGGCUCUAUUCUAAGUAAAAUAUAGAAAUUAGAAGCAUCAUGGACAAUGACUACUUGGUUUAUUUCAUUUUGUACAUGUGACACUAAGUGCACAAGAAGUCCAGAGGUGACCAGAUCAAUGUGGCAAGGACAUGCAAACGAUCAAAAUCUAACAUUAGUAUAUGCACAUAAAUCUAGAGUAUAAGUUCUCUGAGAGAAGGAAUUGUUUUAUAUUUUGUCCAAAUAGAAGAAAUGUUAAAUUUUCAAUAGCAUGAAUUUCUAACAUCUAAAAUGGCGCCUAAUAUAAAAAGUGGUACUCGGUAAAUAUUUAUGGAAAAUAUGUAUACAUGAAUAAAUAUACCCGGUAGAAAAUAAAAGAAACAGAAGUAAAUAUCGCCAUCCAAAUAAUUUAAGGUCAAUAGUUUCAGUUUCUCUUUUGCAAAAUCUUUAACUUGCUUAACUUUCUUUCUUUUAGUUGUGUUCAAGAGUCGGAAUGCCAAACCUGAAGGAAUCCUAGCACCUACCUUAUCUGGUGAAAUUCUGAAUAUAAGAAGAAUGCCCACCCAGGAAAUGUAUAUAUCAGAUGGAAACUGAAGAUGAAAUAGAACACAGAUAACUGAAAAUACAGAACUCUUUCACUACAAAGUGCUAUAUCUUAUGAGUCCAUUCAAAUACUAAAGAUUUGCUAUUAGUUGAAUCAGCUAAAGGACUUUUCCAAAACUAUGAACCAUAUAAAAAUAUGUGCAGAACCAACUUUUCAAUACUUUACACUUUGUCAUUCUGCUCAUUCAACUUUAGCAGAACCUAAAAAUGCUUUAAACAUUCACCAUUGUUACUCCAUUAUCCUGUUGAUUUUGCCAGUGAUUUAGCACAUAAAAACAUUAGGACAUAUGCCAUGAGUAUUUCAUCCCAUAGCCAUCAAGUAAAAAUAUAGUUUCUAGAGACUAAAAUUUAUGGAUGACAAGUAGGUUCUACCUAUGAACU
ensembl:lncRNA novel transcript